UGAGGAAUAUUGGACAAUGGGCGCAAGCCUGAUCCAGCCAUGCCGCGUGCAGGAUGACGGUCCUAUGGAUUGUAAACUGCUUUUAUACGAGAAGAAACACUGCUACGUGUAGCAGCUUGACGGUAUCGUAAGAAUAAGGAUCGGCUAACUCCGUGCCAGCAGCCGCGGUAAUACGGAGGAUCCAAGCGUUAUCCGGAAUCAUUGGGUUUAAAGGGUCCGUAGGCGGUUUGUUAAGUCAGUGGUGAAAGCCCAUCGCUCAACGGUGGAACGGCCAUUGAUACUGACAGACUUGAAUUAUUAGGAAGUAACUAGAAUAUGUAGUGUAGCGGUGAAAUGCUUAGAGAUUACAUGGAAUACCAAUUGCGAAGGCAGGUUACUACUAAUGGAUUGACGCUGAUGGACGAAAGCGUGGGUAGCGAACAGG
rnacentral:rRNA from 1 species